GUAACUUCGGCCUAGUGUGUUUAGACACUAAAUCUGCGUUUCCACUGAAGCAGAUUUACGUUCUUGAUGAAAGAAAGUAAAAAAGCUGAAAGAAAAAAAAUAAUUACGUUACGUAAUAUGAGGACGACCCCUGAUAUGAAAACUUCUAAUCCUUUUGAGAUUUGCUUCUCAUAUCCUCCAGACUUACAUCUCUUUAUUGUAUAAACUCAGUAUGAAUCGAUGUCAAACUGUUAAAAAAUAUCGGUAAUAAUAAUUAUUAUAUCUGCGAUCUAAUAAUAUAAUUAGAGGAUCAUUGUAAAUAAAAGCAUUCGGAUUUUCUUAUCAUGGAGUUGUAUUUUUAACCGGCUUCGAAAAAAGGAGAUUGUAAUUACUAUACUUAAUCUCCGGAGCCUUAUUUACUAGAAAAUAUAAACAUAAGAAAUCUAUAUUAUUGUACGCUCAAUGUUAAAACUUUUAAUGUAGUUGAAAAAAUUGUAAUAUAAAAAUAUUUUUUCAGUGUGAAAAAAUAGCUGUCUUGUAUUGAACAAAAUUAAAAAGUAAAGUUUUCAUGACGUUAAAAACUACCAAAAUAUGUUUCUAUCAUAGUGUUUUAAUAUAUUACGUGUUACAAAAUAUUGUUACUAAUGCUUUUAAAUUAACAUUUCAACUUUCAAUAUUGUCAGUACCCGUAAUGUUUCACAAAUAAGUGAGUUUUAUAAAGAAGAGACCACAAUACGCGACAAUACGCGACUCUACGCAUCAGCGACGCAAUUUCGGAAAGAAGCGGUUAAAUUUAUUUCAUGCAUUUUGGCCACUUUUUAUUUUAAUUUAACCGCUUCCUUCCGAAAAGGAGAAUUAUUGUUUUCAGUUCUACUGUGUUUUACUGCCUUGAAUCGUAUACUCCCUUCACUGUUUUAAUGUUUUAAGUUAUUCAAAUUCUUUAUUAAGUAUACAACAUCAGACAUAUUGCUAGAAAUCAUUUGUCAAAAUGUAUUGCCUUCUCUUUCACAAAUACGAAGCGAGAGCAGAAUAAUAUAAUAUUAUUUUAAUUUAUGAACUUUAAACCAGACUGGCGAUGUGAAUACAAAAUGGUAUGCCGAAUUUGCGACGGUACGACGAGGCGACGGUGUGCUUUGGAAACUCAAUAUAUUUUAUUUCUUUUUAUACUGCAUUUUUAAGAGAAAGACUAAGAUAUUGUUAUGAUAAUAAUUUUUAAUAAAACAUGUUUGUUUGCCUCUA